rnacentral:tRNA from 1 species
AGCUCAGUUGGUAGAGCAACCGCCUUGUAAGCGGUAGGUCGUCAGUUCGACUCUGACA